rnacentral:rRNA from 1 species
CACCUAGUUGGUGGGGUAAUGGCUCACCAAGGCGACGAUCGGUAGCUGGUCUGAGAGGAUGAUCAGCCACACUGGGACUGAGACACGGCCCAGACUCCUACGGGAGGCAGCAGUGGGGAAUUUUGGACAAUGGGGGCAACCCUGAUCCAGCCAUGCCGCGUGAGUGAAGAAGGCCUUCGGGUUGUAAAGCUCUUUCGGUGGGAACGAAACGGUGGAGCCUAAUAAGCUCCACUUCUGACGGUACUCACAGAAGAAGCACCGGCUAACUACGUGCCAGCAGCCGCGGUAAUACGUAGGGUGCGAGCGUUAAUCGGAAUUACUGGGCGUAAAGCGUGCGCAGGCGGCGUGUUAAGACAGGUGUGAAAGCCCCGAGCUUAACUUGGGAAUUGCGCUUGUGACUGGCGAGCUGGAGUGUGGCAGAGGGAGGUGGAAUUCCACGUGUAGCAGUGAAAUGCGUAGAGAUGUGGAGGAACACCGA